AAAGGUUCGCAAUGUUGUGACUGCAGCCAAUCAGGUCCAAAUUUUGAGAUUCAAAAGAUAGAAUAAACAAAUCUUGACAAGGAGAAAAAAAAUGAUUACACAUCGCUAAUAACAUCCUAGUACCAGACAAAUGAUAUCAAGCAAACCAAGGAGAUAGUUCACAAUGCUUGGAAAAAGUAACCUGAAACAAUUUAAUAUGGAAAACUUGCUAGAAAGGCCAAGAAAGAGAUUUGGAACCUGGUGAUUUCCCUUUUUCAUUUUCCUGAAUGCGUUCAACAGAGACAUCUGAACAAAGUCUGCAGGUUCAAAGUGCUAACGAAUAAGCUGCCAUUGGAGGGAUGCUCUUGCGGUAGCAACCGUAACAACUGCAGUGGAUGGUGAGUAG